rnacentral:lncRNA from 1 species
CUUAUAAUUCCAACUCCAAACAAUCGAAUAUUCCCACAUUUAACACAAGGACAACGAAUAUGAGUUGUAUUUACAAGAUUUUCUACAGCAAAAUUAAAAAAUCCUUCCGCACCUAACUCAUAUGCCUUCGAUCUUCUAUCUGCAUGCAUCCAUGACUUAUCUAUCUCACACACUAUAAAAUCAUACAUAUAAUAAAGUGAAAAGACCAGCAAUGAAACACUACUGUAUUGACAAAGAAGAGAACAAAGUGGGAAAAAAGGAAAAAAAAAAUUAAACAAUAAUCUGACGACGGGUUUUACAAAAUAAUCGUCGCGUAACAAAGAUUAAGAAGACGGCAUAUCUAUUUACCGUCGUCUUUAAGCAAACAACAAGAUAUUUUUCAUUUUUCUUUUUGAAGAACAGGUCUGGGUUACGGUCGCCUAACAACAACGGUUGGUUUGGUGGAAACCAACCGUCGUUGUGGUUUACAAAAAACCAAAGCCUAAUUAUUCCAUCCCCAUUCAAUUUCAAAGAACCCUUAACAGAAUGCAAACAUCAAAACAUAAAAAGAACCCAUAUAUAGCUCCCAAUCAAGAACCCAUAACUCCCAAAACAUAAAAGAACCCAUAUUAAGAAACCAAAGCUGAGAGAAUAUACAAACUAACAGAAUAUUUAGAGAGAUCUAAGAGAAUAUACAAACUAAGAGAGUGCUGAGAGAAUAUAUACAAACUAAUAAGAGAAUAUUGAGAGAGAGCUGAGAGAAUAUACUUACAUGGAUAUUGAGAGAGAGCAGAGAGAAAAUAUCAAAUGCUUUAGAGAGCUCAGAGAAUAUACCCAAUGCUUUGAGAGAGAGCGAAAACUUUAAGACAAUUACGUUGAAGAGAGAGAAGGAAAUACUUUGGGGUUAAAGGGAAAUUCUGAAAAUUUUAAAUCCCAGUCAAAAAUUUCGAAGGAUCGCGUUUAAACGAAAUUGAAUUUCUAGAAUUACCUAAUGUAUACUGCAAUCACUGUGGAUCCAAUCUCAACCAUGGAAGCAAACUGUAAAACAUCUUCACACAAGAGCCAGGUAUCAUGCUCAGUGCCAAAAAUUCCCUCUGGCAUGUGAAUUAUAAUGGUCUCGUUAGCAGGCUUCAACUUGGUCUCGACGUAUUGGCAUGGGGCUAACAGAGGAGCUGGCAUGUCAAGCUUUG